rnacentral:misc_RNA from 1 species
CUCAAAAGAUGGAUUUGAGAGUUUUUCCAUCAUCUCUAUUGCCUUAUUCUCUUUCUUUCCAAUGCCAUUUGUUCUCUCUGCUGCCAGGAACGUGUUCUGACCAUGCUCUUUGGUUUUCUCAAUAUCAGGGNNNNUUUCAUUGAAAGCAAUAACUUCGGCAAGUGUCCUCACUGGAGAUGUGAUAAGCUCUUUCAGGUAAUCAUUCAAAUAGAGCUUGAACUCAGCCAACAUCAGUGUCAGC